rnacentral:rRNA from 1 species
CGACCGCGUGGAGGAUGAAGGGUACUUUUGGUAGUUUGUAAAACUCCUUUCGAUCGGGACGAUUAUGACGGUACCGGAAGAAGAAGCACCGGCUAACUCUGUGC